CUGCACUCUGGGAUAAGCCUGGGAAACUGGGUCUAAUACUGGAUAUGACCUUUCUCCUUAUGGGGUUUGGUGGAAAGUUUUUCGGUGUAGGAUGAGCCCGCGGCCUAUCAGCUUGUUGGUGGGGUGAUGGCCUACCAAGGCGACGACGGGUAGCCGGCCUGAGAGGGUGAUCGGCCACAUUGGGACUGAGAUACGGCCCAG
rnacentral:rRNA from 1 species